GGCCCGUUCGUCUAGUGGCCCAGGAUGCCUGAUUCUCAGUCAGGAGAUCGCGGGUUCGAAUCCCGCACGGGCUA
rnacentral:tRNA from 1 species